GGCCCAGUAGCACAGUGGUUAGUGCGCUUGCUUGACUUAGCAUGUCAAAGGUGAAGUUUAGGCGAGAGAUCCUCGUUCGAUUCGGGGUUGGGUUA